ensembl:lncRNA
CAAGAGGUGAAUGUUUGUCUCUCUUCCAACACGAGUUAGAUGAGGUGCACAAAUACAUGGCACACACAGCCUAAAGCAACUCAGACAGAACAAGAGUUUGUUGCCACAGAUUUGUGGCAGCUGUUGCACAUGCUUGUGCUUCCAGGUGUCAUUUAAUACCUUUCCUUCUACACUUGCUCUUAUGGAGGCUUAAAGAGGGAAUGGAAUUGCCGUGAAGAGGAAAGCACCUGCUUGCUGCUUCUGAAUGAUGCUGAGGGUAAAAUAUUAGGAAGGUGACACAGUUUUCCUUUAAAACCACACAGCUGUAGUCACUGAGACAGCUUGAAGGACAGGGCAAAGAGUGAAUGGGCUGUUUAUUUCAGCACCAGUAAACUAUUUUAUAAUAAAUGCAACUUUCCAGACAGUGACUGAAAAAUGCUGCAGUUACACUUCCACAGAAUAACCGCAUGCCAAGAAGCAUUAUACUAAAUCACUAAUUCCAUCAUUACUUUAAAAGGUACGGAGGACGUAACCAGAUGACGCUAAUUUAAUAAAUCAAGGACUCUUGAGAACCACCAUCAGAGGGCAUCGUUUAUAAAUGAUGUGCCAAAUGCGCUGCCACGAAGUAGCGAAUCUCUCCCAACUCCCUGCUUCCCUCCCAACGCGAUACCGCACAAGUCGAGACGCACCAAGCGCCCUUCCCGCUCCCUUCCCUCCCCCGGCCCCCAAACUUUCCCGGGGCUGAAGGAGACAGCAGCCCCGCGUUGAGAGGGGGCGGCCGGCCGGGCGGGGCCGGGGCUGCCUUUCGGCGGCCGGCAGGGUUCCUCGCACUGAGGGAGGCUGAGGCGGUGUCCCGCUGCCCGCUCCCCUCCCGCAGGCGCUUCCCUCCCGCCCUCCGGGCAGCGCCGCCGGCGGAAGCCGCCCGCCCCGAGCGGCCGCGGGAGUCGGUGCCGGGACAGGCGCGGGGAGCGCGGGUACUUGCCCAGGUGGGGACGAGGAGGCUGCCGGGGCGCUCAAGCGGUGCUGGAGGCGGCUGCUUCCCGGCCACGCUCAUCUCCUCCCAUGCAGCUGGCUGGGUCCUCCUGUCAGACGGGCGGCUCGGCAGGACGCGGCGCCUCAGAUAGCAGCAUGUCAAGAUGUUAGAGCUCUGCCAAUGUGCAAAAAGGAGUACAGUAUUAUUAUGUGGCCAAAGAAAGCACAAACUUGUGAGAAGAAGAAGAGCGGAGUUCUGGGAACCUGUUGUCACUACUCAGAUUUAUCCAGUCAUUGCCUGGCACCAAAGAAUUGCCAGCUCUGAGAAAAGGCACAAGGAUAUAGAAAUCCCUGCUUCUUGGAAACUGCCUGCAUCCCUGGAGUAGCACGUGACGCUCCUUCCAUCUUUUCCUUUUGCUGUGGUUUCUGCUCAUAACAUUUGGCAGCCAAUGUAUAACCCUAAUUGUGAGCUCCUUGUCGUAUGACAAAUAUAUUCAUUAUUUAUAUUUCAACAGUAUUUGACCAGUGACUCAUAAAAACGUAAGCAUUAAAUUUAGAAAGAAAAUGUGAUUCACAAAGGCAAUCUGGUUGUACAUAGAAGCACAGAUAAGUUAUAUUUGAUGAACAGAGGCAGCAUUAUGUGGUUUGGGUAACCAAUAAAUAAAUCAGAUAGAAACUUCUCA